rnacentral:rRNA from 1 species
AGUGGACGCUGGCGGUAGGCCUAACACAUGCAAGUCGAACGGCAGCACAGUAAGAGCUUGCUCUUACGGGUGGCGAGUGGCGGACGGGUGAGGAAUACAUCGGAAUCUACUUUUUCGUGGGGGAUAACGUAGGGAAACUUACGCUAAUACCGCAUACGACCUACGGGUGAAAGCAGGGGAUCUUCGGACCUUGCGCGAUUGAAUGAGCCGAUGUCGGAUUAGCUAGUUGGUGGGGUAAAGGCCCACCAAGGCGACGAUCCGUAGCUGGUCUGAGAGGAUGAUCAGCCACACUGGAACUGAGACACGGUCCAGACUCCUACGGGAGGCAGCAGUGGGGAAUAUUGGACAAUGGGCGCAAGCCUGAUCCAGCCAUACCGCGUGGGUGAAGAAGGCCUUCGGGUUGUAAAGCCCUUUUGUUGGGAAAGAAAAGCAGCAGGUUAAUACCCCGCUGUUCUGACGGUACCCAAAGAAUAAGCACCGGCUAACUUCGUG